CAACUUUUUGACAAUGGAUCUUCUUGGUUCUCC
rnacentral:rRNA from 1 species